UACGUAGGGGGCAAGCGUUGUCCGGAAUUAUUGGGCGUAAAGAGCGUGUAGGCGGUCCGGUAAGUCAGCUGUGAAAGUCAAGGGCUCAACCCUUGAAUGCCGGUUGAUACUGUCGGGCUAGAGUCCGGAAGAGGCGAGUGGAAUUCCCGGUGUAGCGGUGAAAUGCGCAGAUAUCGGGAGGAACACCAAUGGCGAAGGCAGCUCGCUGGGACGUGACUGACGCUGAGGAGCGAAAGCAUGGGGAGCGAACAGG
rnacentral:rRNA from 1 species